rnacentral:rRNA from 1 species
GACGAACGCUGGCGGCGUGCUUAACACAUGCAAGUCGAACGGAAAGGCCCUGCUUUUGUGGGGUGCUCGAGUGGCGAACGGGUGAGUAACACGUGAGUAACCUGCCCUUGACUUUGGGAUAACUUCAGGAAACUGGGGCUAAUACCGGAUAGGAGCUCCUGCUGCAUGGGGGGGGUUGGAAAGUUUCGGCGGUUGGGGAUGGACUCGCGGCUUAUCAGCUUGUUGGUGGGGUAGUGGCUUACCAAGGCUUUGACGGGUAGCCGGCCUGAGAGGGUGACCGGCCACAUUGGGACUGAGAGACGGCGCAGACGCCUACGGGAGGCAGCAGUGGGGAAUAUGGCACAAUGGGCGGAAGCCUGAUGCAGCAACGCCGCGUGCGGGAUGACGGCCUUCGGGUUGUAAACCGCUGUCGCAUGUGACGAGGCGUGAGUGACGGUAAUGGGUAAAGAAGCACCGGCUAACUACGUG